GGGCUUGUACUGGUUUCGACGGGGGUUUCGAAGUCGAGGAAGCCAUCCGCGGGCCGGACCGCGUUAAAACCGGAACUUAAAAUUAAACGCUGACAACAAUACAGUUGCAGUAGCAGCCUGAGUUGCUGCUCGUCGGCCCGGUUGUACCCGUACUCCCGGUUACCGGCGUCAUGAUUACGGGAAACGACGCAGGCAAAGCUUUGAGCCUGUGGGCGUAUGAUGAAGCUACUGAUGCUGUGAGGCUGCUGCCUGCCGCAUAGCUGAGGGAAUGUAAAGAAGCAGCUGUGAUGGGAGAUGCCUCGGGGGACAGGCUUUCGGACGCGGGUUCGAUUCCCGCCAGGUCCACGA
rnacentral:tmRNA from 1 species